GGAUUGGGAUAUUCCGACUCCUUAAGGGCCUGGCGCACAUAAGGUGUGACCUUUUCAUUCCCGUUGUUAUGGAGGGCCACAUCUGCCAGAGCCUGGAGUCUGCGAAGGCCGGGACCCGGUUCCCCGGCCCACAGUGGGGGUGUGCAAACCCGAGAGAACUGGGUUGCAAAUUCGUGAAGAAUCAGCAUCAUGUUUGGCAGCUGAGUAUUGGAGCCAGGAGCCUGCCAUGAGGUUUUGAGAACAGAGUGCUGUUUUAGAGCUGGCAGCAGCAUCUCAGCCCAAGAGAAGCCGAUGCAGCCUCAGUGUUCCUUUGCCUUGGGGGUUUCUGAGUGGUGGGGUUGUAAGCAGAUCCUGCCAGGCACCCAGAAGGAAACCUCAUCAGGACUCCCUCAGAAAGGCCCUGAAGAAUCCUGUGACCUUCAUCUAAAGUAGGUCAUGAGACCCCUGAGCUUAAAACGGAGUGAUCGGCUUUGGAGAAGUAAGGAGACAUGACGUGCCUGCCCUGGGGUGGGGACUAAACUUCGUGCCACUCCACGUGAAAGGGGGAGGCAUGACUCCACAGUUUCUGCAACAACAGAGCCGGGGAAAGGAGGACGCAGCAAGCGCUGAAUAUUAACCAGCAAAGGUAGAUGCUUCAAUAUCGAAACCACCGGGACCCGCAUGUGCAAAGCUACUUAAUGAGGGUGUAAUCAAACACAGUCUACCAGAAGGAAAUUAAUUAGAGUCCGGAGAGCAAGCAGGAAGCAGAACCAGGCUGCUCCCCCUCCUGGCUCUAGAACAUCACUGGCAGCCACUGCUAAGGGAGGGACAAGGCUGGGGGAUGCCAGGCCUCAGCUGGGUGCCAGGGCUCCUGUCCUCUUCCCCGUGACAUUCCGGCUUGCCUUUGGGGGACACC
rnacentral:lncRNA from 1 species